UGCGGGGUGGAGCAGCCUGGUAGCUCGCCGGGCUCAUAACCCGGAGGUCGCUGGUUCAAAUCCAGCCCCCGCUA
rnacentral:tRNA from 1 species